rnacentral:rRNA from 1 species
GACGAACGCUGGCGGCGUGCUUAACACAUGCAAGUCGAACGGAAAGGCCUGUCCUUCCUUGUGUUGGACGGGUACUCGAGUGGCGAACGGGUGAGUAACACGUGAGUGAUCUGCCCCCAACUUGGGUAUAAGCCUGGGAUACUGGGUCUAAUUCCCGAUAGGACUGCAGGGUGGUGCCUGUGGUGGAAAACGAUUUUCUAGUGGUUGGGGAUGAGCUCGCGGCCUAUCAGCUUGUUGGUGGGGUAAUGGCCUACCAAGGCGGCGACGGGUAGCCGGCCUGAGAGGGUGGACGGCCACAUUGGGACUGAGAUACGGCCCAGACUCCUACGGGAGGCAGCAGUGGGGAAUAUUGCACAAUGGGCGGAAGCCUGAUGCAGCGACGCCGCGUGGGGGAUGACGGCCUUCGGGUUGUAAACUCCUUUCGACCGCGAGGAAGCCGCCUGGUUGGAAGGGUGGUGACGGUAGUGGUAGAAGAAGCACCGGCUAACUACGUG